CAGUCGAACGGACUCAUACUGAAACCUAGUGAUUUAUGAGUUAGUGGCGCACGGGUGAGUAACGCGUGGAUAACCUGCCGUAUACCGGGGGAUAACACUUAGAAAUAGGUGCUAAUACCGCAUGAGCGCACAGCUCCGCAUGGGGCGGUGUGAAAAACUCCGGUGGUAUACGAUGGAUCCGCGUCUGAUUAGCCAGUUGGCGGGGUAACGGCCCACCAAAGCGACGAUCAGUAGCCGGCCUGAGAGGGUGAACGGCCACAUUGGGACUGAGACACGGCCCAGACUCAUACGGGAGGCAGCAGUGGGGAAUAUUGCACAAUGGGGGAAACCCUGAUGCAGCGACGCCGCGUGAGUGAAGAAGUAUCUCGGUAUGUAAAGCUCUAUCAACAGGAAAGAUAAUGACGGUACCUGACUAAGAAGCCCCGGCUAACUACGUGCCAGCAGCCGCGGUAAUACGUAGGGGGCAAGCGUUAUCCGGAUUUACUGGGUGUAAAGGGAGCGUAGACGGCAGCGCAAGUCUGGAGUGAAAUGCCGGGGCCCAACCCCGGAACUGCUUUGGAAACUGUGCGGCUCGAGUGCGGGAGAGGUAGGCGGAAUUCCUAGUGUAGCGGUGAAAUGCGUAGAUAUUAGGAGGAACACCAGUGGCGAAGGCGGCUUACUGGACCGUAACUGACGUUGAGGCUCGAAAGCGUGGGGAGCAAACAGGAUUAGAUACCCUGGUAGUCCACGCCGUAAACGAUGAUUACUAGGUGUCGGGGGACCAAGGUGCUCCGGUGCCGGCGCAAACGCAUUAAGU
rnacentral:rRNA from 1 species